rnacentral:lncRNA from 1 species
UGCCGAAGGGGUCAAAACAGAAUGGCCUCUUGUGCAGAAAGGUCGCAUUGUGUGAGAGUGUACCGCAGUCUAAGCAGCUGGGACGGCAGCGCAGGGAUAAGACAGGAGGCAUCUGAAGGCUUUUGUGGAAGCUAAGGGCUGCCAGGCCCUGCGCUGCCCUCGGCCAUGGAAUUCAAGGAAUAGCCCUGGGCUCUUGGUUCAGGCUCAGCUUCCCGCCGGUGGUAAACUCGGUGCCACACCAAGGUAGGCUGCUUGUUCUCUGAUCAGGGCUUGGACACUCCCCAUGCCCCCCUUCCCUGCCCGGGGACUGUGGGCCCCAGACCUGCAGGGUGAUACUGAGAUGCCAUGUGCGGGCUCCGGUGGCAAGGUCAGGCAGAGAUGCCAAUCCGCUGGUCUGUGCCCAAUGCACUGGUCUGUGCCCAAUGCACGGGCCAAUGAGAUUGCUGGCCGGUUUCGCUUCUAAAGCUGUAAAAACAGGCCGUAGUUAGCUUUAGAAAGAUCCAGGGGCAAAAGUGAAACCCUACAUUGAUUCUGCUAACAUUCCCAGAGAGCCAACCCCCAGUGCAACAACCUUUGUUAAAAGGGGAACUUUAGAAAUGACAUGUCUCUGGGUCAUCCUGGACACUUAGGAAUAGGAAACCUCACAACUGACUCAGUUGACUCCGGCUUCUUUCUAUUGAGUACAAAAAUAAUAACAAUGGAACUGAAACAAGUCUUAAGUUGAAGUAUUUGUUGUAUUAGGCUGUGCUCCUAGUUCCUUUGCCAGUAAAACAUACACAGUACACAGGAAACCAUUUAUUUACAAAUACAAUUGCCCUAGACAAGCCACAUUCCAUGUAUGUAAUUCAUUAAUAGAACUUUUCCUUUCUUCCUUCCCUUUGGAAAGCUCCAAAAUAGCUGGAGCUUGGGGGAAGGGAAGGAGAGUGGUUAUCCUACCUGUUUCUUGAAAAUGAAGCUAAACUACCUGGCCAGUUCCUGUCCAUGAUGUUCCACACUGUAAGCUAAUCAAAAUACAUGCUGAUAGUUUUGUUUUCUUUUUGACUCUUCAGAAAAGAAGUUUGUUGCUUGUGGUUGCUGUCAUCAGAGUUGCCCAGUAGAAAGGAGCUGGUAAUGUGGCCCUAGUUGGUAUGUGUGUGAUUUACAUGUGAACAAAACUAAAAUUUAGACAGCUGGAGCUGGCUGAGAAUCUAUGAAAAUUGUUAUCUGUAAAACCUACUCUGUGGUUAUAGUUUUUAAAAUGUCUGUGGACAAUGCCCGUUGGACUACUUCCUUUCUGAGAAAAGUUAUGCCCAGGGACCAUGCUAGAGAGGGCUUCCUGGUCACCAGGAGAGCUAGGAGCCUUUAUUUAUAGCACCUGAGUCUGCUGUUUGAAUUCAGGAAGUUUUCUCUAAGUGAGUCUUCACCUCCUGUAAGUUGAGAGAGGAGUUUUGUUUGGGGAAGAGCUGGCCAAAGGAAGCCAUAACCAAGUGUGAAUUUUCUGGGUGCCCCAGUGAGUUUUAUUUAAACAUGAAAAGUAU